rnacentral:antisense_RNA from 1 species
UAUACAAUAUUGGCACAGCAUUUUUAAGCAAUAAUAAAAGUUUCAUUUUGUCACCUUAGGUCAAGAUCCAUUUAUCUAUUAAUAGGUUUAAGUCUGAAAUUCUGUAACAUAUUCUAGAAGCACCUACAUCCAUUAUUUCCAGGAGACUAGUUUACUACUAUCAUGCAAUCGCUGAGGUCAUAUGAGUCUAAAAUGAAGGGAAUUGCUGAACAGGCCCUUUUGCUGUUGAGAUAUGAAGCCCAAAUCUUUGCCUCUGAAGACGGAAUUCAAUGUGGUGUGUGUAAUCACAAGUAAAAACUUGAGCUAGGGAGGAACCUUGGAUAUUCAGUCUACAUCUCAAACAGCAUAGCUGCCAAAAAUGAGGCCUGUCCAUUAAAGUGGAGGAGAUAUCCUUGCUGAUGGCAAAAACUGCUUUUUCUUUUUGAGACGGAAUCUUGCUCUGUCGCUCGGAUUGGAGUGCAGUGGCGCCAUCUCAGCUCACCACAACCUCCACCUCCUGAGUUCAAGUAAUUCUCUGCCUCAGCCUCACGAGUAGCUGACAGGCGCCCGCCUCCACGCCUGGCUAAUUUUUGUAUUUUUAGUAGAGACGGGGUUUCACCAUCUUGGCCAGGCUGGUCUUGAACUCCUGACCUCGUGAUCCACCUGCCUCGGCCUCCCAAAGUGCUGGUGGAUCACUUGAGGCCAGGAGUACGAG